UAGGGAAUCUUCGGCAAUGGGGGCAACCCUGACCGAGCAACGCCGCGUGAGUGAAGAAGGUUUUCGGAUCGUAAAGCUCUGUUGUAAGUCAAGAACGGGUGUGAGAGUGGAAAGUUCACACUGUGACGGUAGCUUACCAGAAAGGGACGGCUAACUACGUGCCAGCAGCCGCGGUAAUACGUAGGUCCCGAGCGUUGUCCGGAUUUAUUGGGCGUAAAGCGAGCGCAGGCGGUUUGAUAAGUCUGAAGUUAAAGGCUGUGGCUCAACCACAGUUCGCUUUGGAAACUGUCAAACUUGAGUGCAGAAGGGGAGAGUGGAAUUCCAUGUGUAGCGGUGAAAUGCGUAGAUAUAUGGAGGAACACCGGUGGCGAAAGCGGCUCUCUGGUCUGUAACUGACGCUGAGGCUCGAAAGCGUGGGGAGCGAACAGGAUUAGAUACCCUGGUAGUCCACGCCGUAAACGAUGAGUGCUAGGUGUUGGAUCCUUUCCGGGAUUCAGUGCCGCAGCUAACGCAUUAAGCACUCCGCCUG
rnacentral:rRNA from 1 species